UACAGGGGGUGCAAACGUUGCUCGGAAUCAUUGGGCGUAAAGCGCACGUAGGCGGUCUGUUAUGUCGGAUGUGAAAGCCCUUGGCUCAACUGAGGAAGUGCAUCCGAAACUGGCAGGCUAGAGUACUAAAGAGGAUCGCGGAAUUCCCGGUGUAGCGGUGAAAUGCGCAGAUAUCAGGAGGAACACCGGUGGCGAAGGCGGAUCUCUGGGCCAUUACUGACGCUGAGGAGCGAAAGCGUGGGGAGCGAACAGG
rnacentral:rRNA from 1 species